rnacentral:ncRNA from 1 species
AGAAAAUCGAUGAUUAGAGAGAGUAGUUAGGAUGGAAGAUUGAAGAGAGCCUCGGUUGCUGGGAUGAGGUAUCAGAAGUUUUAAUGAAUGGGUCUAUGAGAUGGUUGGCGAACAUUACUGUUAUUAGUAGCUUAACCCGGGGACUUCCCGUUAUAAAGAAGUAGGAUAUCGACUUUUUAUGUUUACUUAUUGUAAAUUAGAAUUGUCCGUAUCUGAUUGAGAUGAUUUUUAUAAUAAUUAUUUUUUGUUAUAAAGAUUAAUUGGGAUGGUACCGCGAGUUAACACUUGCUCCUUUA